rnacentral:pre_miRNA from 1 species
UGCAAAAAUAUUUAUAUUUAACUCAUUUCUCUAAAUGAGACUAUAGAGAUUUUUGCUAU